rnacentral:rRNA from 1 species
UGGGGAAUAUUGGACAAUGGGCGGAAGCCUGAUCCAGCAACGCCGCGUGAGGGAUGACGGCCUUCGGGUUGUAAACCUCUUUCAGUACCGACGAAGCGAAAGUGACGGUAGGUACAGAAGAAGGACCGGCCAACUACGUGCCAGCAGCCGCGGUAAUACGUAGGGUCCGAGCGUUGUCCGGAAUUAUUGGGCGUAAAGGGCUCGUAGGCGGUUUGUCGCGUCGGGAGUGAAAACAGCGGGCUUAACUCGUUGCUUGCUUUCGAUACGGGCAGACUAGAGGUAUGCAGGGGAGAAUGGAAUUCCUGGUGUAGCGGUGAAAUGCGCAGAUAUCAGGAGGAACACCGGUGGCGAAGGCGGUUCUCUGGGCAUUACCUGACGCUGAGGAGCGAAAGUGUGGGGAGCGAACAGGAUUAGAUACCCUGGUAGUCCACACCGUAAACGUUGGGCGCUAGGUGUGGGGUCCUUUCCACGGAUUCCGUGCCGUAGCUAACGCAUUAAGCGCCCCGCCUGGGGAGUACGGCCGCAAGGCUAAAACUCAAAUGAAUUGACGGGGUCAUAGC